rnacentral:tRNA from 1 species
GUCCCCAUCGUCUAACGGUUAGGACAUCGCCCUUUCACGGCGGUAAUCGGGGUUCGAAUCCCCGUGGGGACACCA